rnacentral:rRNA from 1 species
GCCAAAAACCUAGCCCAAACCACCCACAUGACCCUUAACUAAAAAAACCCAAACCAAAACAUUUCAAAAGUCAAGUAAAGGUGAUUGAAAAACUUCUUAGAGCUAUAAAUCUAGUACCGCAAGGGAAAGGUGAAAUAAAAAUGAAAUAUAAAUUAAGCACAAAACAGCAGAGACUCUAUCUCGUACCUUUCGCAUCAUGGUUUAACUAGUCUAAUCAAGCAAAAUGAAUUUAAGUUUGAACCCCCGAAACUGAAUGAGCUACUUCGAGGCAGUUUAAUGAACUAACCCGUCCCUGUUGCAAAAGGGUGGGAAGACCCCCAAGUAGAGGUGAAAAGCCUACCGAACUCAGUGAUAGCUGGUUACUCAAGAAAAAGAUUUUAGUCCAGCCUAAAAAAACCUUAAUUCAUUUAAAUAAGCACAAAUUUUUAGAGUAAUUCAAAUAAGGUACAGCCUAUUUGAAUCAGGAUACAACCUAAACUAAUGGGUAAGUAGUUAACUACCUAAUUAAGUAGGCCUAACAGCAGCCACCUUUUAAAUAGCGUCAAAGCUUAUCUAAGCACUUUAUUAAUCCCACCCUUAAUACCAAACCCUUUAAUAGUACUGAGUAAUUCUAUAAUAUUAUAGAAAAUUUUAUGUUAAAACUAGUAACAAGAAGAAGAACUUCUCUUAAAUGCAAGCGUAAGUCAUUAUGGACACCCCAUUGACAUUUAACAUCUAUGAGCCUACAGUACAAACACAACAAGAAAAACUUACUUAACACAAUGUUAACCUAACACUAGAGCAUUAAAAGAAAGAUUAAAAGAAAAAGAAGGAACUCGGCAAACUUUAACCUCGCCUGUUUACCAAAAACAUCGCCUCUUGCAAGCAUAAGAGGUCCAGCCUGCCCAGUGACUCUGUUUAACGGCCGCGGUAUCCUGACCGUGCGAAGGUAGCGUAAUCACUUGUUCUUUAAAUGAGGACUAGUAUGAAUGGCACCACGAAGGUUAUACUGUCUCCUUUAUCCAAUCAGUGAAACUAAUCUCCCCGUGAAGAAGCGGGGAUAUACAUAUAAGACGAGAAGACCCUAUGGAGCUUUAAACACAGUAACAUUUGCGCCAGCGAGCCUAUAAUUACACCCGCCCUGCAUUAUGAUUAUUAGUUUUAGGUUGGGGUGACCGCGGAGUAAAACUAAACCUCCACGUUGGACUGAAAACUUUUUAACGAAGAAAGACAUUUCUAUGUAUCAACAAAUUGACAUUCAUUGACCCAAUAUUUUGAUCAACGAACCAAGUUACCCUAGGGAUAACAGCGCAAUCCACUUUGAGAGUCCCUAUCGACAAGAGGGUUUACGACCUCGAUGUUGGAUCAAGGUAUCCAAGUGGUGCAGCAGCUACUAAAGGUUCGUUUGUUCAACGAUUAAAACCUUACGUGAUCUGAGUUCAGACCGAAGCAAUUCAGGUCAGUUUCUAUCUAUAAGAAGUGUUUUCUAGUACGAAAGGAUCGAAAAACCACGGCCAAUAUUAUAAACAAGCCGCCCCCUAAAAAUUUAUGAAUACAACUCAAUAAUUUAUUAAUUCUCCAUAUACACCACAGAAUAAGGUA